rnacentral:rRNA from 1 species
GAUGAACGCUGGCGGCGUGCCUAAUACAUGCAAGUCGAGCGAACGGAUAAGGAGCUUGCUCCUUUGAAGUUAGCGGCGGACGGGUGAGUAACACGUGGGUAACCUACCUAUAGGACUGGAAUAACUUCGGGAAACCGGAGCUAAUGCCGGAUAACAUUUGGAACUGCAUGGUUCUAAAGUAAAAGAUGGUUUUGCUAUCACUUAUAGAUGGACCCGCGCCGUAUUAGCUAGUAGGUAAGGUAACGGCUUACCAAGGCAACGAUACGUAGCCGACCUGGGAGGGUGAUCGGCCACACUGGAACUGAGACACGGUCCAGACUCCUACGGGAGGCAGAAUUGGGGAAUCUUCCGGAAUGGACGAAAGUCUGACGGGGCAACGCCGCGUGAGUGAUGAAGGUUUUCGGAUCGUAAAACUCUGUUAUUAGGGAAGAACAAAUGUGUAAGUCACGGUGCACAUCUCGACGGUACCUAAUCAGAAAGCCACGGCUAACUACGUGCCAGCCGCCGCCGUAA